rnacentral:rRNA from 1 species
CCUACGGGUGGCAGCAGUGAGGAAUAUUGGUCAAUGGGCGCGAGCCUGAACCAGCCAAGUCGCGGGAGGGAAGACGGUCCGAUGGAGUGUAAACCUCUUUUGUCGGGGAGCAAAAGACGCCACGCGUGGCGUUCCGAGAGUACCCGAAGAAAAAGCAUAGGCUAACUCCGUGCCAGCAGCCGCGGUAAUACGGAGGAUGCGAGCGUUAUCCGGAUUUAUUGGGUUUAAAGGGGGCGCAGGCGGAAGAUCAAGUCAGCGGUAAAAUUGAGAGGCUCAACCUCUUCGAGCCGUUGAAACUGGUUUUCUUGAGUGCGUGAGAAGUAUGCGGACUGCGUGGUGUAGCGGUUACAUGCAUAGAUAUCACGC